rnacentral:rRNA from 1 species
GACGAACGCUGGCGGCGUGCUUAACACAUGCAAGUCGAACGGAAAGGCCCUGCUUGCAGGGUACUCGAGUGGCGAACGGGUGAGUAACACGUGGGUGAUCUGCCCUGCACUUCGGGAUAAGCCUUGGAAACUGGGUCUAAUACCGGAUAGGAGCCAUUUUUAGUGUGAUGGUUGGAAAGUUUUUUCGGUGUAGGAUGAGCUCGCGGCCUAUCAGCUUGUUGGUGGGGUAAUGGCCUACCAAGGCGGCCACGGGUAGCCGGCCUGGGAGGGUGGACGGCCACAUGGGGGCUGAGAUACGGCCCAGACUCCUACGGGGGGCAACAGUGGGGAAUAUUGCACAAUGGGCGCAAGCCUGAUGCAGCGACGCCGCGUGGGGGAUGACGGCCUUCGGGUUGUAAACUCCUUUCGCUAGGGACGAAGCUUUUUGUGACGGUACCUAGAUAAGAAGCACCGGCUAACUACGUG